UGUGAGCCGCUGUGCCCAGGCCAAUCCCAGAGAUUUUGAAGAUGAUUUCUCGAUACGAGUUUCACGAAGACUUGAAAAGAAUGUGUCCUCUGUUGUUGGAUGGAGUGUCCUUGAAAUGUUCAUUAGCCUUCUAGCUCCAUUCAGAAGAGCCUCCGAAGUAGAGACCAGAAAUCCUUCUAGUGGGCUGUGCUUUGAGCAGUACUGCUUGUUGACUGCUUUACUUGGAAGGAGAGAUCGACUGAGAAUGUAUAACAUCAAGAGCUGCCCUAAUGUGAACUGGAGACUUCGAGUGACAACAAUGUGCCCAUGGAAAGAAGUGGACAAGACUCUGCUCUCUUCAUGGAACCGAGUAUUCUAAGGACACAGCCAAGUCAGGAGACUACACCCCUAGUAUAAUAAGUCCUGUGGCUGUACUGAGAAGAGGUCCUGACUCAGAACUGGAGGACAUCAUGGAAGGCUUCCUGGAGGAAGUGCCAUCUAGGCUGAAACCUAAAGGAUGAGUAGAACUAACCAGAUGAAAAGCACUGGAUUUGACUCAUCCCUGCAUCCCCCGAGCACCUCGUGGGUGCCGUAAAGGCAGCUGGGUUGAUGAUGACUGAGUGAAGGAGCGCCUGAGUGGAUGAGCCACUGAGUGAAUGAACUGGAGUUCAUCUUCCACGUGGUCCUCAGCAUCCACUCUAGAAGCCAAAGCCAAGGACACAGCAACCCACCGAGUGCCUUGUCCUCACUCUCUCCAACUGGGGAGUGCCCCUGCGGUGUCAUCUCUCUUUACAGAAGAGAUGCCAUGAGCUACUUUCCUUUCCCCACCUCACCUAACUUCUCUGCUGUAGCCUAACAGUCCAGGACCUGGGGAUUCAGGUGAGACACAGAUUAAGUCCCCAUAACUGACAUUUUCUUCUGAGAAGAAAGCAUUCACAUUCAAGGACUUGAGCAGCUCUGAGCCCCAUGGCAGCUGAGAUGCCACAGUGCGUCAAGUACAGGCACAUGGCAUCUGGGAGGCAGAGCUACAUCCUCUGGGUUGGAUGAUUUCUGCCUUUCCCCAGGGGUUCACAGCUUGCAAUCAUUCUGUAACUGAGGAGUCUGGUGGAAAUGGGGGUAGCAAAGAGAUCAGAGCAGGCAAAUGGUCCUCUGGGGCUGGGAACACUCCCUCUUUCUACCUUCCAACUGCAGGCACAUGUACGUGUCUUUUCAGCCUGAGGGAUCUAAAGCCUUGGGACUUCUGGAUCUGCAAGUGGUCCCUGUUUUGGUAGCUAUUGACUGACGAGGGGCUCUUCGGUAAGUUCUGGGGUGGCAGUGGAGGUGAUGAUGGGAGGGUGUUACAGGGCUCCACAGGCUCUUACAGGGCUCGGGAGCUUAUUUAAGGGAACACCUUGAUUGUCCAUGUGUCGUGGGCCAGAGAAGAAAGGCAGCACUGUGGAUCUUCUGGGAGGAAAGGAGAGGCGUCGAUUUCUGACUCCAGUUUUCUAUGAUCAGCACAGACUCUGUCCCACCUCCUCCCUACAGAGCUUCUGGAUCCUGGAGGAUGGAGAAUAGGCUAAAUUGCACAGGCCAGCUCCAGUCCAUUGGCAGGGCUGCCUAGAACAUGGCUGUGAUGAUCCCAAAGCUCAAUAGCAGAGAACCCUGUGGGGUGCUAGGAGUGUCUGCCAGGGUGCCGCAGGGAAAGGGGAGCAUGUGUGUAGAUGUAGAAAGCAUCUCUGCCAUCCCCUCCCCUAAAGAAUAUAUAACAUGGCCAUGCAGAAAAACACUUGUGAAAGGAGCUGCUGCCCUCAGGACAGCGUGUCAUUGAAAUGGGGGCUGAGCAACCCGUCAGAAGAGUGGGGAGGAGGGACCAUCCUCCAGCCCCUUCCCAGCUCUCUUCUGGAGCCAUAAGCCACAACACUGUCUAUGAAAAAGCUGAGGCCUAGAGCAGAAGGAGUGCAAAAUCCCAGCUACUGCAGGCCUACGCCCAGUGGUUCUCAAAGUGUUGUCCUCAGUCUAGCAGCAUCAGUGUCACCUGAAAACUGGUUAGACAUCCAGGUUCUCAGUUGUUAUCCAGCUCUAGCAGAUGGGAAACGCUGGGGGCGGGACCAGCCAUCUGUGUUUAACAAGCCCCACAGGUGACUGCUGUAGCCUUGAGUGAGGACCUCGGCCAAAAAGAAGGCUCCUACCGUGGCUGUUUGCUGAUGGUCUUCGCAGAGCCUGCUGUCUUUGAGCUUCCUGAGAGAGGGACACUACCCUCGCUUAGCCUGGCAGUGUUGCCCAGGAGGAGGCAGUGGAGUUAAGAAGCCUGGGUCUGAGCUCCUCAGCUGUGCAGACAACUCCUACUUGUUCUUCAACGCUCAACUUUAAGUUCAGUCACCACCUGCAGAAGUCUUCUCCAAAACCUCCCCACCUGGCUGACUAAGGGGCUGGCUUUAUGCUCUUGCAGUACUCAUGCUUCCUACUGUCACAGUUCUGACCACACCGUGGGAAAACGUCUCUAACUAGAGACCUGUCUUGCCUCUUGUGCCUGUAGUACGGGAUGGGUGCCCAGUGUGUGUUGAUUGUAUGAAUCAAUCUCUGUGACUCCAGAGUUCCUUUCUUCAGGAGAUUAGACAUCACCCCUGCAAUCAACAAUGCAAGCCACUGCUGUUUCCUCCAUCCUGAGCAUGAGGAACCUAUCCAGUUUCUCUCUCAGAUGCCAGGGCCAUGAGGCAAGUCCAGCCUUGGCCUAGAACCAAAGAUGGAAACAAAAAGGGGCCAGACUGUGUUGCCUUCUUGAGCCUGGUCUGACUCCUGAGUGGAAGUCUGAUUCCAGGUACAUGAGAUAAGCACUAAUACCUCCAGUUUGCAGAUUAAGAGACUGAGGUCCUGAAGAGGUUAAAGAACUUGGCUCAAGUCACAUAGCUGGUGAGCAGCAAGAUACAAGAAUCAACCCAAGUCCAGGGGGCUGUGUGCCGUUUACACUUCACAUCUGUGCUGCCAGGGCUGUAGCUAUAAAAGCUUGAAAACCAUUACUCUGAGAAUCUCUCUGUUGGGAAAAUGAGUCCCUUCAACUCUAGUUGUUGCCACUGGGAUGCUAACAGAAAGCAAAGUCUCAGAGGAAAGAUGUGGCAUUCCUGAGUGUCUUCCAUGUACCAGGACUUCUAUUUGCUAGCCACUUUAUGUUCCUCAUCCCAUCCUUCUGUGAGGGACAUACUUUUCAGAUGAGAAACGUAAGCUCCGCGAAGCUAAGGGGCCGGACUGAGGUCCCACAGCGAGAGUGUGGAGGAGCCAGGAUCCGAACCCCAUCGCCAGCCCUUGCCAGUUCCAUGAUUCCGGUGCCAGCGCUCGCCUGACCUCCAGGGCUGUCAUGGUGGGAAGGGACUGGAGGGCAUCUGCUGGGCAAAGGAAAGAGACAAACAUCAUCCCAGAGCCUGUCUUCCCUGGGCAAUACCCGGGCCACUCCAGACAUGGCGUCUUUAGCCCUUCCUUGGUCACUGGCCCCCAGGUGAAGAGAGCAUUUUUCUCUGACUCAAGUUCUUGCCUCUGGAUUUGCCAAGCUCCUAUGACAGUCUUCGCCCUUCUGAAGCUCUCUCAGGCUCCCCUUCCAGAAAUCCCGCAGGUUCCACCGACCUCUCUGAGAGCACAGGCGAGUGGUUGAACGGUGGGCUUUAGAGACGGCGCGGCACCAGAGUCCUGUACUGGCUGUGUGAUCCUGAACCUCCUCACUGAGAUUCUCAUCUGCAAGAUGGAGA
rnacentral:lncRNA from 1 species